rnacentral:rRNA from 1 species
AUUGAACGCUGGCGGCAUGCCUUACACAUGCAAGUCGAACGGCAGCACGGGGCAACCUGGUGGCGAGUGGCGAACGGGUGAGUAAUGCAUCGGAACGUACCUUUCAGUGGGGGAUAACGUAGCGAAAGUUACGCUAAUACCGCAUAUUCUGUGAGCAGGAAAGCAGGGGAUCGCAAGACCUUGCGCUGAUUGAGCGGCCGAUGUCAGAUUAGCUAGUUGGGGAGGUAAAGGCUCACCAAGGCGACGAUCUGUAGCGGGUCUGAGUGGAGGAUCCGCCACACUGGAACUGAGACACGGUCCAGACUCCUACGGGAGGCAGCAGUGGGGAAUUUUGGACAAUGGGGGCAACCCUGAUCCAGCCAUGCCGCGUGAGUGAAGAAGGCCUUCGGGUUGUAAAGCUCUUUCGGCCGGGAAGAAAUCGCACGGGCUAAUACCCUGUGUGGAUGACGGUACCGGAAUAAGAAGCACCGGCUAACUACGUGCCAGCAGCCGCGGUAACAC